UUUAAGAAGGAUCAAUUGGAGGGCAAGUCUGGUGCCAGCAGCCGCGGUAAUUCCAGCUCCAAUAGGAUAUAUCAGAGUUGUUGCAGUUAAAAAGCUCGUAGUUGAAUUUCUGGAAGGUAGAAGUGUUUUUUUAGAGAAGCAAUUUUUUAUGAAAGACACCGCUUUCCAUUUUGUGGAUUUCUGUUUUGUAUGAAGAUAGUUUACUCUAUUUUUAUAUAAAAUACCACUCCGUCACUGAGAGCAAAUUGGAGUGCUCAAAGCAGGCUUUAUUAGCUUUGAACAUUUUAGCUUGGAAUGACAAGAUAUGACUUUUGUUUUAUUUUGUUGGUUAUGAAAUAAAAGUAAUGAUUAACAGGAACAGUUGCGGGGGUACUCGUAUUGAAAGGUCAGAGGUGAAAUUCUUGGAUUCUUUCAAGACGAACGACUGCGAAAGCAUUUACCAAGGAUGUUUUCAUUAAUCAAGAACGAAAGCUCGGGGAUCGAAGAUGAUUAGAUACCAUCGUAGUCCGACGCCAUAAACGAUGCCGACUCGGGAUUAUUUUGUUUGUUUAAAUCAAAAAGAACACAAAGUAGCACCGUAUGAGAAAUCAAAGUCUUUGGGUUCCGGGGGGAGUAUGGUCGCAAGGCUGAAACUUAAAGGAAUUGACGGAAGGGCACACCAGAGGUGGAGCCUGCGGUUUAAUUUGACCCAACACGGGGAAACUUACCAGGUCCAGACAUGAUGAGGAUUGACAGUUUGAAAGCACUUUCUUGAUUUCAUGGGUGGUGGUGCAUGGCCGUUCUUAGUUGGUGGAGUGAUUUGUCUGGUUGAUUCCGAUAACGAACGAGACGGGGUGAAUUUACUAGUUUGUUAUAUAAUUUACGUUAUAUAAGACUUCUUUAUUCGACAACUUGGUUUUACCAAGAGGAAGCGCCCCGCAAUAACAGGUCUGUGAUGCCCUUAGAUGUUCUGGGCUACACGCGCGCUACAAUGACGAAUUCAACGAGUUUAAAAUUUAUUCCUUAUCCGGAAGGAUGUGGGUAAUCUUUUCAAUAUUCGUCGUGAUGGGGCUAGAUUUUUGCAAUUAUUAAUCUUCAACGAGGAAUCUCUAGUAUGUGCAAGUCAUCAGCUUGCGCAGAAUGCGUCCCUGCCCUUUGUACACACCGCCCGUCGCACCUACCGAUUGGACGAUCCGGCAAGAUGUUUGGAGUUGUUUUGAUUGUAGAGUAAUUUAUGAUGAAAAUGACAAAGCUCUU
rnacentral:rRNA from 1 species